rnacentral:rRNA from 1 species
GACGAACGCUGGCGGCGUGCUUAACACAUGCAAGUCGAACGAUGAAGAAGAGCUUGCUCUUCGGAUUAGUGGCGAACGGGUGAGUAACACGUGACUAACCUGCCCCUUUCUCUGGGAUAACGCUCCGAAAGGAGUGCUAAUACCGGAUACUCACAUCGAGGCACAUGCCUUGAUGUGGAAAGUUUUUCGGAAAGGGAUGGAGUCGCGGCCUAUCAGCUUGUUGGUGAGGUAACGGCUCACCAAGGCGACGACGGGUAGCCGGCCUGAGAGGGCGACCGGCCACACGGGGACUGAGACACGGCCCAGACUCCUACGGGAGGCAGCAGUGGGGAAUAUUGCACAAUGGGCGAAAGCCUGAUGCAGCGACGCCGCGUGGGGGAUGAAGGUCUUCGGAUUGUAAACCUCUUUCAGUAGGGACGAAGCGAAAGUGACGGUACCUAAAGAAGAAGCACCGGCUAACUACGUGCCAGCCGCCGCCGUAA